GACGAACGCUGGCGGCGUGCCUAAUACAUGCAAGUAGAACGCAGUUGCGAACGGGUGAGUAACGCGUAGGUACCUGCCUCAUAGCGGGGGAUAACUAUUGGAAACGAUAGCUAAUACCGCCUACUGUGAGAUGGACCUGCGUUGUAUUAGCUAGUUGGUGCGGUAAAGGCUCACCAAGGCGACGAUACAUAGCCGACCUGAGAGGGGUAUCGGCGACAGCGUGAGUGGGACACAGGCCAGACUCCGACGGGAGGCAGCUGAGGGGGAACGUCGGCAAGGGGCGGAAGUCUAACCGAGCGACGCCGCGUGAGGGAAGAAGGUUAUCGGAUCGUAAAGCUCUUUUGUUAUAGAGGGGGUAACUAACAAGAAAGCCACGGCUAACUACGUGCCAGCAGCGGGGUAAUAC
rnacentral:rRNA from 1 species